CCUACGGGAUGCAGCAGUGAGGAAUAUUGGUCAAUGGACGAGAGCCUGAACCAGCCAAGUAGCGUGAAGGAUGACUGCCCUAUGGGUUGUAAACUUCUUUUAUAAAGGAAUAAAACGAGCCACGUGUGCCUUUUUGCAUGUACUUUAUGAAUAAGGAUCGGCUAACUCCGUGCCAGCAGCCGCGGUAAUACGGAGGAUCCGAGCGUUAUCCGGAUUUAUUGGGUUUAAAGGGAGCGUAGAUGGGUUGUUAAGUCAGUUGUGAAAGUUUGGGGCUCAACCGUAAAAUUGCAGUUGAUACUGGCGUGCUUGAGUACAGGUGAGGUAGGCGGAAUUCGUGGUGUAGCGGUGAAAUGCUUAGAUAUCACGAAGAACCCCGAUUGCGAAGGCAGCUUACUAAACUGUAACUGACAUUGAUGCUCGAAAGUGUGGGUAUCGAACAGGAUUAGAUACCCUGGUAGUC
rnacentral:rRNA from 1 species